CAUUCUAAAUCAGUGAAGACAUCGAAACAAAAGCCGACGUGGGGCAAUUAGGUGACUUGUGGAUGAAAACAGUCAUGCCUGUUGAAGAGACGUGAGAAGGACAUUACUUUGCAGUCCAAGUCAUGUGAUAAACAAUAGACCAGAUGGAGUUGCCACACAAAGGAAAUUUCAUUUGCAACAAAUAAGGAGAUCACAAUAACUUCCAAAACCCUGUGCUGCAGCAAGAGCUGGAGACUUUUUAACGGUGCAAUGGAGCAGAGGUAACUGUCAGAAGAAAAGAAGGGGCUGUGGGCAUGCUCCGAGAGCUGGCAUAAACUGGAUGGCAUAUUUGGCUCCUUAUCUCCGGUUCCCUCCACUCCACGGAACUGCCAGUUUUCUCUCUCCUAGUUCACUUCUACGCACGUCGCACCUGCCAUGCUGUCGCCGUCCACCUGUGAAUAUCCUUCCGCCACUCCGCAGAUCGAAGUCCUGCGUGUUUCAAGUGAUCUUACCACA